AUUGAACGCUGGCGGCAGGCCUAACACAUGCAAGUCGAGCGGUAACAGGUCCUUCGGGAUGCUGACGAGCGGCGGACGGGUGAGUAAUGCAUAGGAAUCUGCCCGGUAGUGGGGGAUAACCUGGGGAAACCCAGGCUAAUACCGCAUACGUCCUACGGGAGAAAGGGGGCUCCGGCUCCCGCUAUUGGAUGAGCCUAUGUCGGAUUAGCUAGUUGGUGAGGUAAUGGCUCACCAAGGCAACGAUCCGUAGCUGGUCUGAGAGGAUGAUCAGCCACAUCGGGACUGAGACACGGCCCGAACUCCUACGGGAGGCAGCAGUGGGGAAUAUUGGACAAUGGGCGCAAGCCUGAUCCAGCCAUGCCGCGUGUGUGAAGAAGGCCCUCGGGUUGUAAAGCACUUUCAGCGAGGAAGAACGCCUAGGGGUUAAUACCCCCUAGGAAAGACAUCACUCGCAGAAGGAGCACCGGCUAACUCCGUGCCAGCAGCCGCGGUAAUACGGAGGGUGCAAGCGUUAAUCGGAAUUACUGGGCGUAAAGCGCGCGUAGGUGGCUUGAUAAGCCGGUUGUGAAAGCCCCGGGCUCAACCUGGGAACGGCAUCCGGAACUGUCAAGCUAGAGUGCAGGAGAGGAAGGUAGAAUUCCCGGUGUAGCGGUGAAAUGCGUAGAGAUCGGGAGGAAUACCAGUGGCGAAGGCGGCCUUCUGGACUGACACUGACACUGAGGUGCGAAAGCGUGGGUAGCAAACA
rnacentral:rRNA from 1 species